AACUCAACAAUCUUGAAUUCAAGAAGAAUCUUACAUGUUU
rnacentral:sRNA from 1 species